rnacentral:miRNA from 1 species
UGCCUCAUUGACCAGAAGUGAUUCCUUCCGGUUGAUGAGACCCUUGCACCUCAUUGAUUGGAAUGGGUCAAUGAGGUAAAUCCAUUCCUAUUUGCACCUCAUCAACUGGAAGGAAUUCCUUUCGGUCAAUGAGGUC